GUGGGGAAUAUUGGGCAAUGGGCGAAAGCCUGACCCAGCAACGCCGCGUGAAGGAAGAAGGUCUUCGGAUCGUAAACUUCUAUCCUUGGUGAAGAUAAUGACGGUAGCCGAGAAGGAAGCCCCGGCUAACUACGUGCCAGCAGCCGCGGUAAUACGUAGGGGGCAAGCGUUGUCCGGAAUGAUUGGGCGUAAAGGGCGCGUAGGCGGCCUUCUAAGUCCGAUGUGAAAGUCCUGCUUUUAAGGUGGGAAUUGCAUUGGAAACUGGAGGGCUUGAGUGCAGGAGAGGUAAGUGGAAUUCCCGGUGUAGCGGUGAAAUGCGUAGAGAUCGGGAGGAACACCAGUGGCGAAGGCGACUUACUGGACUGUAACUGACGCUGAGGCGCGAAAGUGUGGGGAGCAAACAGGAUUAGAAACCCCAGUAGUCC
rnacentral:rRNA from 1 species